CUCUCCUCGCGACAGACGGUAAGCCAGACUCGGUUUUCUCCACAAGAUCAUCAACACAUUUGGCCCGUUACCCGUUCCUGCAAGGGGCGCGUGCCCGUUAUCGCUGUCAGCGCCAGGAUAACCCCAAACCCCAAAUUUUCUCUUUGCUCUCGAGCUCCACCUGGGAAGCAGCGCCUCCUCCGGGAAGCCUUCCUGAGCCUCCCAGCUCAGCCUUGGCCAUGCCGUGACCUUAGCAGAACGUGCUCUGUGCAGUGAGGUCUGUAACUUCAGCGCUGCCUGUGACCGGGGAGGACUUGUCAUCCACUACCUCAG
rnacentral:lncRNA from 1 species